rnacentral:lncRNA from 1 species
GGGGCUCCCUCUGCCCUGGAGUCCUGGCUCUUGAGCCCGCCCUCCUUAGGGACCUGGAGGCAGGACUGUCACAGCAGGGCCUCGCUCUCACACUACACCUGCAGGAGGUGCAGCAGCAGAAGCUUCCCUGAGGCCUAGAUCUGGGUGGGGAGGCCGCCUUUCCAGCCAGAGGGCAGUGGUGCCCAGGCCUCUCUCCCAGCAAGCCCCCCCCGCCCCCCUGCGGCCCCUGGGCUUUUCCUUGGAAUCGGCUCUGGCUUCCAGUAAAAUAAACACAUUAACCACUUGGCUGGCCCAGGCUGUAGGCAGAGGCAGAGCCAGCUGCAGAGGCCAGCGCCCGCCCAGCUCAGCCUGCUGCGCCUGCACUCCCCACCCGGGGCUGGUGCUGGCACGGCUCGGGGUGAGCAUGUGGGUGGGAUUGGGGUGCUGUGGGGGAGGAGAGUUUGGGGGGGACGGGGCAGGCUCUGGCCUGGGCCUGGUGGGUGACCACCUGGAGGCCCAGGCUGGCUGCCACCACUCCGGCCAAGGUCAGUCACGAGGGGGUCACCCCAGCUCCCUCCUCCUUAUCCCACAGCCGCCCCCCCUCGGGGGGGCAAGGAACAGCAGCCUGGCUGGGGUGGGGGGAGGCCCGGCGUCUCUCCAGAGGGCUGGGUGUCCUCGCACCGUGUGGCAGCCGCCCCCAGAGGGAUGAUUCAAAGCAGCCUCGGAGGCUCUGCCGACUGGUCCCGGAAAGCCAGCGCCGUCACCCCGGCUGCCUCCUGUGGGCACAGUCCUCCAUCCAGGCCCCACUCGAAAGGAAAACUGGCUCCACUUUGGGAAUGCCCCGGAGGACACAGACCCUGGACCCUGAGAGGAAGGGGAGGGGUGGCAGGUGCCAGACUAGGAUUGCUGUCUGGGCCACGACCCCCGGUCCCCUGGCAAGGGCACCGCUGGUCCUUCCUUCCACCCCAGCCCAGAAGUCUCCAGGCAGUGCCCCUUCCAGGCGACGCCUGCAGUCCUGCUGCCUGCCGACCCCGAAGCGGGAAGCAGCGCCGGAGGGCGAAGCAAAGGCCACGUGCUUGCUUUUAGAAAAGUACCCGCGUGGCCUGGGAGCGACAGAGGCCCACGCCCCCGGGGGUCAGUUGAGGUUAUGUUCACAUAACACGCACUUAGUAUGUAAAGUGUGCAAUUCAGUGGCGUCUGUGCACUCCCAGUAUUGUGCAAACACCAGCCCUCGCUCGUCUCAGAACUUCUUCACCACCCCGUAAAGACCCUCCCCGGAUCCGAGACGUCGUCGCGCCCCGUUUCUCGCUCCCGAAUCCUCCGGGAAUGGCUGACCCGCGCCGCCCCCGUGGACCCGCCUCGUCCGGGUCCGCCACGUGAAAAGCACCCGGGGAGGGGGGCCGGCGGCCUUUGUGUCUGGCUGCUUUCACGCUGCAGUGUCCUCAGGUCCACGCACGUUGCCUCUGCCCCUUCACUCCCUUUAGGGGUGAACGCCAGCCCACAGUUGGAGGUCCAGUUCUCCGUGGACAUUGGGGUCAUUUCCCCCUUUUGGAGAUUGUCAGUAACGUGUCUAUGAACAGGAAAGGUUUUUAGUUUUG